CCGAGUUUACAACUCCCAACCCCAAUGUGAACGUUACCUGUCUGUUGCCUCGGCGGGAUUUCUGCCCCGGGCGCGUCGCAGCCCCGGACCAAGGCGCCCGCCGGAGGACCAACCCAAAACCCUUGUUGCAUGCCCCCUCGCGGGCUUUGAAUUUUCAACUGUCUGAGCCGUCUCGGCGCCCCCUCGCGGGCGUUCCGAAAAAUAAGUCA
rnacentral:misc_RNA from 1 species